rnacentral:misc_RNA from 1 species
UUGACUCAUUUGUAAGACUCAGAGAUACAACGCUGAGAGACAGAGUUGGGGGCCGCCGGCGGGCCGGUGCCCGGCGCGAGGCCGGGCGCCCGCCGAGGCAACGUUCGGUAGGUUCACAGUGGUUUCAGGGAGUCUUGCGAGUCCUGUAAUGAUCCCUCCGCUGGUUCACCAACGGAGA